UGUGUGUGUGAGCCGUAAUAGGGUGACAAUUUUUCGGGACUCCCGCGGGUCACAGUAUUCCCGCGGGUUUCCUGCAGUACGGGAGUAAAUUUCACUGUUGGUAACGUGAUUGGGAC